rnacentral:rRNA from 1 species
UAGUUUAACGGCGUUAAAGUGCCCCGCCUGGGGCAGUACGGUUCGCAAGGGCUGCAACUCAAAGGAAUUNGACGGGGGGCCCGCACAAGCGGUGGAGCAUGUGGUUUAAUUCGGAUGCAACGCGAAGAACCUUACCUGGGCUUGAACUGUAGUGGAUCGCCUGCGAGAUCAGGUUUUCUCUUCGGAGACUGCUACAGAGGUNCUGCAUGGCUGUCGUCAGCUCGUGUCNUGAGAUGUUGGGUUAAGUCCCGCAACGAGCGCAACCCCUAUUCUUAGUUGCCACCGAGUAAUGUCGGGAACUCUAGGGAGACUGCCCCGGAAAUCGGGGAGGAAGGUGGGGAUGACGUCAAGUCCUCAUGGCCUUUAUGUCCAGGGCUACACACGUGCUACAAUGGGCGGUACAAAGGGCAGCGAAAGCGCGAGCUCGAGCCAAUCCCAAAAAACCGUCCUCAGUUCGGAUUGCAGUCUGCAACUCGACUGCAUGAAGGUGGAAUCGCUAGUAAUCCCGGAUCAGCAUGCCGGGGUGAAUACGUUCCCGGGCCUUGUACACACCGCCCGUCACAUCACGAAAGUUGGCUGUACCGGAAGCCGGUGGGCUAACCCGCAAGGGAGGCAGCUGUCCCAUGG